rnacentral:rRNA from 1 species
UACGUAGGGUCCGAGCGUUGUCCGGAAUUAUUGGGCGUAAAGGGCUCGUAGGCGGUCUGUUGCGUCGGGAGUGAAAACUUACAGCUUAACUGUGAGCGUGCUUUCGAUACGGGCAGACUUGAGGCAUUCAGGGGAGAACGGAAUUCCUGGUGUAGCGGUGAAAUGCGCAGAUAUCAGGAGGAACACCGGUGGCGAAGGCGGCAUCCUGGACCAAUUCUGACGCUGAGGAGCGAAAGCCAGGGGAGCAAACGGG